UGGGGAAUAUUGCACAAUGGGGGAAACCCUGAUGCAGCGACGCCGCGUGAGCGAAGAAGUAUUUCGGUAUGUAAAGCUCUAUCAGCAGGGAAGAAACUGACGGUACCUGACUAAGAAGCACCGGCUAAAUACGUGCCAGCAGCCGCGGUAAUACGUAUGGUGCAAGCGUUAUCCGGAUUUACUGGGUGUAAAGGGAGCGUAGACGGAUGGGCAAGUCUGAAGUGAAAGCCCGGGGCUCAACCCCGGGACUGCUUUGGAAACUGUUCAUCUGGAGUGCUGGAGAGGUAAGUGGAAUUCCUAGUGUAGCGGUGAAAUGCGUAGAUAUUAGGAGGAACACCAGUGGCGAAGGCGGCUUACUGGACAGUAACUGACGUUGAGGCUCGAAAGCGUGGGGAGCAAACA
rnacentral:rRNA from 2 species